GGUGAGAUAAAGCUGUGCGGAAUCAGUCUCUCAGCUGAUUGGCAGAACAAGGUGGGAGGAGGAGGCCAACAGGGAGAGGGAGCAGGCAGUCCUCUUCUCCAGACACCUUCCUCUUUUAUAGCCUUUGGGUCUCAAUGUGGGAGAAGACACAGUCUUCUGUCACCAUGGCAACGUUUACCUCGGCGCUAUGUUAACUCUGCCAUGCUUGUUGAUAAUAAAAUUCAAAGAGAUGUGGACCAUCUGGACAUACCGCAGGAUAUUACAUUGAUCCAGUACAGCUAUGAUAUCAUGCUAAUUGGACAAGGUAAGCUAAAGCGACUACUCUGCUGCGGGCCUCAAUAUGAUGAUGUGCUUCAGAGGAUAGAAGAUAAACUCUAAAGGAUAAAGUAACCUGCUGCUUCAUAAAAGCUUUCAGGAAUUCAGUGAUCAGGAGUGUGCCAGGAAUCCCCUCCAAAGCAAAAUAAAAUAAAAUAAAAUAAAAAUCUGUAUCUUCAUCUAACGACAAAUAAGAAAGCACAAAUAAGUAAGUAGGUCUUUUUUUUUUUUGAGCUGUCACCUGGGUUGGAGUGCUGUGGCAUGAUCAUGGAUCACUGCAAGCUCAACCUCCCAGGCUCAAGUAAUCCUAUCACUUCAGCCUCCUGAGUAGCUGUAACUAGAGGCAUGUGCCACUAAGCCCAGCUAAUUUUUGUAUUUUUUGUAGAUACGGGGUUUUGCCAUGUUGUGCGGGCUGGUCUCGAACUCCUGGGCUCAAGCAAUACACCCACCUCGGCCUCCAGAAUUGCUAGGAUUACACAGGCCUGAGCCACUACACCUGGCCCUGGACGUCUUUUUAGUUUCUGGAAGUAACAUAUUCCAUCCCCACGCAUUCCUCUCCCUGACACAUCCCAGGUCAUAGGACAGGGUGCCAACUCUAAGUGGAGGCUGGAGCAGGAAGGGGCUCUGCAGUAGGUCUGAGCUGGGGUAUGAACAGUGCCUCCUUUUGAACUCUGUCAUCUAUUAGAUCUUUUGGUGUUGGAGGUGUCAGUGGUAGGAAAAGAUGCGAUGGGGAGUUUGUGGCAAGCCCCAGGGGAAGAAUCACGAUACAGUUUCCUGAGAUUCUGGAGCUAGGCCAUGACAUCUACAGCAGAGCAUCAUAAACCUUUUGAAAAAUCGUUCCCGAUAUCCUGAUAGCUGUGGAACACUGGACCAUGGGACACUAACUGACCACACAUUCAGAACUGCCCCUCAUGAGCUGAGUCCAACCAAACCUUCCAAGUCAUAAAUUUGGGUGGGCUUAGCAGUGGUUAUUAUAAAAAGGAAGUGGCACAGCUGAGAUUGAGCUCAAGAAGAGCUAAAGGAGAAAUAAACUGCAGGAGCAGGUAGCCAACCCACUACAGUUGCACCAACUUGCCUUUUCCAGCUUUGUUCCACAUAUUUCUCACUUAUCUGGGGUGAUUGGGCUAUCUGGGCUUGUUCUUUUUU
rnacentral:lncRNA from 1 species